ACGGGAGGCAGCAGUGGGGAAUAUUGCACAAUGGGCGAAAGCCUGAUGCAGCGACGCCGCGUGAGCGAAGAAGUAUUUCGGUAUGUAAAGCUUUAUCAGCAGGGAAGAUAAUGACGGUACCUGACUAAGAAGCACCGGCUAAAUACGUGCCAGCAGCCGCGGUAAUACGUAUGGUGCAAGCGUUAUCCGGAUUUACUGGGUGUAAAGGGAGCGUAGGCGGUUUUACAAGUCUGAUGUGAAAGCCCGGGGCUCGACUCCGGUACUGCAUUGGAAACUGUAGAACUAGAGUGUCGGAGGGGUAAGUGGAAUUCCUAGUGUAGCGGUGAAAUGCGUAGAUAUUAGGAGGAACACCAGUGGCGAAGGCGGCUUACUGGACGAUUACUGACGCUGAGGCUUGAAAGCGUGGGGAGCAAACAGGAUUAGAUACCCUGGUA
rnacentral:rRNA from 1 species